rnacentral:rRNA from 1 species
CCUACGGGAGGCAGCAGUGAGGAAUAUUGGUCAAUGGACGAGAGUCUGAACCAGCCAAGUAGCGUGAAGGAUGACUGCCCUAUGGGUUGUAAACUUCUUUUAUAUGGGAAUAAAAUGUUCCACGUGUGGGAUUUUGUAUGUACCAUAUGAAUAAGGAUCGGCUAACUCCGUGCCAGCAGCCGCGGUAAUCCGGAGGAUCCGAGCGUUAUCCGGAUUUAUUGGGUUUAAAGGGAGCGUAGGUGGAUUGUUAAGUCAGUUGUGAAAGUUUGCGGCUCAACCGUAAAAUUGCAGUUGAAACUGGCAGUCUUGAGUACAGUAGAGGUGGGCGGAAUUCGUGGUGUAGCGGUGAAAUGCUUAGAUAUCACGAAGAACUCCGAUUGCGAAGGCAGUUCACUGGACUGCAACUGACACUGAGGCUCGAAAGUGUGGGUAUCAAACAGGAUUAGAUACCCGUGUAGUC